rnacentral:rRNA from 1 species
CCUACGGGGGGCAGCAGUGAGGAAUAUUGGUCAAUGGACGAGAGUCUGAACCAGCCAAGUAGCGUGAAGUAUGACUGCCCUAUGGGUUGUAAACUUCUUUUAUAUGGGAAUAAAAUGUUCCACGUGUGGGAUUUUGUAUGUACCAUAUGAAUAAGGAUCGGCUAACUCCGUGCCAGCAGCCGCGGUAAUACGGAGGAUCCGAGCGUUAUCCGGAUUUAUUGGGUUUAAAGGGAGCGUAGGUGGAUUGUUAAGUCAGUUGUGAAAGUUUGCGGCUCAACCGUAAAAUUGCAGUUGAAACUGGCAGUCUUGAGUACAGUAGAGGUGGGCGGAAUUCGUGGUGUAGCGGUGAAAUGCUUAGAUAUCACGAAGAACUCCGAUUGCGAAGGCAGUUCACUGGACUGCAACUGACACUGAGGCUCGAAAGUGUGGGUAUCAAACAGGAUUAGAUACCCCUGUAGUC